GAUAGUCAAGUAGUUCUGUGAGCAAAAGAUCUAACAGUGCCUCAUUUUCUAUGUAGUAUCUUAGAGGAAAUGAAAACUACCUGCUGCAGCUGGGGUACUUACAAGGUGUCUCUUAGUUCAAUCUCCUCAGAUAAACUGGAAAUUUUCAAUAAUGGCAAUACAUUCAUUCUGCCAUUUGGAGGAGCCUGUGCCACAGAGUAAUGAUCUGAAGAAAGCUCACUUACUUGCAAAGAAGAGUCUUCAUUUGGGAAGUAGUUCUGAUGCGGCUAAGAGGUGCUUUGUCGAGUUCAGAACCUCCUGUUUGUGGUGAAAAUUGAGGUUUCCUCAAAGACAGUCCCAUAUCUGAAGAGUGAGAAGAAACCAUUUUGGUUAGGUGUGGGUUGCUUGUCAGAAAUCUGUUCCGAAGCUUCAAU
rnacentral:lncRNA from 14 species